AUUGAACGCUGGCGGCAUGCCUUACACAUGCAAGUCGAACGGCAGCACGGGGCAACCUGGUGGCGAGUGGCGAACGGGUGAGUAAUGCAUCGGAACGUACCCGGAAGUGGGGGAUAACGUAGCGAAAGUUACGCUAAUACCGCAUAUUCUGUGCGCAGGAAAGAGGGGGAUCUUCGGACCUCUUGCUUUCGGAGCGGCCGAUGUCAGAUUAGCUAGUUGGUGAGGUAAAGGCUCACCAAGGCGACGAUCGGUAGCGGGUCUGAGAGGAUGAUCCGCCACACUGGGACUGAGACACGGCCCAGACUCCUACGGGAGGCAGCAGUGGGGAAUUUUGGACAAUGGGCGCAAGCCUGAUCCAGCCAUGCCGCGUGAGUGAAGAAGGCCUUCGGGUUGUAAAGCUCUUUCGGCCGGGAAGAAAUCGCGUGAGUUAAUACCUUGCGUGGAUGACGGUACCGGAAUAAGAAGCACCGGCUAACUACGUGCCAGCCGCCGCCGUAAUAC
rnacentral:rRNA from 1 species